rnacentral:rRNA from 1 species
GACGAACGCUGGCGGCGUGCUUAACACAUGCAAGUCGACGUGAGCGGCGAACGGGUGAGUAAUAGGUGGGUAGCCUGCCCUCCUUGUAGGGAUAAGCCUUGGAAACGGUGACUAAUCCCGAAUAAGGGGGGAUGGGCUCGCGGCGUAUAAGUUUGUUGGUGGGGUGAUGGCGCACCAAGGCGGUGACGGGUAGCCGGCCUGAGAGGGUGACCGGCCACAUUGGGACUGAGAUACGGCCCAGACUCCUACGGGAGGCAGAAGUGGGGAAUAUUGCACAAUGGGCGAAAGCCUGAUGCAGCGACGCCGCGUGUAUGAAGAAGGCCUUAGGGUUGUAAAGUACUUUCAGCGGGGAGGCGUUACCCGCAGAAGAAGCACCGGCUAACUCCGUGCCAGCAGCCGCGGUAAUAC